rnacentral:rRNA from 1 species
GAUGAACGCUAGCUACAGGCUUAACACAUGCAAGUCGAGGGGCAGCAUGGUCUUAGCUUGCUAAGGCCGAUGGCGACCGGCGCACGGGUGAGUAACACGUAUCCAACCUGCCGUCUACUCUUGGACAGCCUUCUGAAAGGAAGAUUAAUACAAGAUGGCAUCAUGAGUCCGCAUGUUCACAUGAUUAAAGGUAUUCCGGUAGACGAUGGGGAUGCGUUCCAUUAGAUAGUAGGCGGGGUAACGGCCCACCUAGUCUUCGAUGGAUAGGGGUUCUGAGAGGAAGGUCCCCCACAUUGGAACUGAGACACGGUCCAAACUCCUACGGGAGGCAGCAGUGAGGAAUAUUGGUCAAUGGGCGCAGGCCUGAAUCAGCCAAGUAGCGUGAAGGAUGACUGCCCUAUGGGUUGUAAACUUCUUUUAUAAAGGAAUAAAGUCGGGUAUGUAUACCCGUUUGCAUGUACUUUAUGAAUAAGGAUCGGCUAACUCCGUG